rnacentral:tRNA from 1 species
GAUGUUGUGGAAUGGUGGUUCAUUCACUUGACUUUUAAUCAUGAGUUUGAGGGUUCCAAUCUCAGCCCAGCACCA